rnacentral:rRNA from 1 species
CCUACGGGGGGCUGCAGUGGGGAAUAUUGGACAAUGGGGGCAACCCUGAUCCAGCCAUGCCGCGUGUGUGAAGAAGGCCCUCGGGUUGUAAAGCACUUUCAGUGAGGAAGAACGCCUGGUGGUUAAUACCCAUCAGGAAAGACAUCACUCACAGAAGAAGCACCGGCUAACUCCGUGCCAGCAUCCGCGGUAAUACGGAGGGUGCGAGCGUUAAUCGGAAUUACUGGGCGUAAAGCGCGCGUAGGUGGCUUGAUAAGCCGGUUGUGAAAGCCCCGGGCUCAACCUGGGAACGGCAUCCGGAACUGUCAAGCUAGAGUGCAGGAGAGGAAGGUAGAAUUCCCGGUGUAGCGGUGAAAUGCGUAGAGAUCGGGAGGAAUACCAGUGGCGAAGGCGGCCUUCUGGACUGACACUGACACUGAGGUGCGAAAGCGUGGGUAGCAAACAGGAUUAGAUACCCUAGUAGUC